AACCGAGUUUUGUCUUCUUUAAGCAAAGUGAAAUGGUGGCAAACACCUUUGAUUUAAAGGUAGGGUAUUCCGUGAUUUAAGCAUUAGUGGAUCAAUCAAGACCGGUGCUUUAUUUGCUUACGUGUUUAUGCAUAAUUGAAAAUCAUUCAACAAAGAAAGCAGAAGAAAUCUCACUCUCUCUCUCUCACGGCCGAACCCAGCAAAAACAGAGCACGGAUUCUUCGAUCUCUCUCUCCCUCCUCAGGCCACCUCAAGACGUCGAACCACCUCCAUUAGCCUCGCCUAGACCUUGCACUGCUGCAGUGGCAUCCUUGCACCGCGGCACAACCGGAAAACGGCGGCGGAAACACGGUUUCGUUUUAAAACCCGAUUGGGUCCAAUUGUGAUAACUCGAGCUACAGGCCAUCAAUCCUCACCAAACUUCAUCCUCGAGCUCGCCUCAACUUCCUGAAGCUCCCAGAAGCAGCCUCACACGGCGGCGUGGCCCGUAGCAGUGGCUACAAGUCAAACCCAACCAAGAACGAAACCGGAGCUAUCGAUCCAAAUAUCUUGAGCUACAGGAUGUCGUUUUGAGUGAUUCUUGAACCAGUGAGCUCGCCUUGAAGUUCUGAACAACUCUCCAGAAGGAAUCGAAGCGUUUCGUUGAAGUUUUUACGUCGGAAUUCAAGCUCGCCGGAUUCUGGAAAUUUUCCGGCCACCGACGCUUUCGAUCAAGAUAUCUUGAGCUGUAGAGCUUCGUUUUGAGUGAUUCUUGAACCAGUGAGUUCGUCUUUAAGUUCUGAACAAGUCUACUGAAGGAAUCGAAGCGAAAGGAGGACAUUUUUACGUUGAUCGGAGCUUCGCCGGCUUCUGCAAAUUCUCGCCGGUUUUUGGAAAAAUUCCGGCCACCUCGACUGUUUUAGGUGAUUGACGGUCUUCCUUGGGUGAGCGAUUUCGGUGUGUAUUGUGUUGAAUUGAAGACGCAGCGGGAAUAUCGAGCGGGUAAUCCUACAGGUCAGGCGAAUCGGGAAGGUGAUCGAGCUGCUUAGAGAAAUUGCAUUGGGUAAAUCUGGAUUUAUAUUGUGAGGUUUAUUAUGCUCUUUUGAGUAUUGUAAAUUAAGUUGUGAGAGUGUGAUGUAAUAAGUAAAUUGAAGAUUGGUUUUUGUAAUAUUGAGAGGUGUGAAGUGUGGUUGUUUGUGAGAAAAAAAUUCAGGACGUUAUUUGUAUUGAUGUUAAUCAUGUUUCGGAUUUGAAUUGAUUAUUCAAAAUUCGGGGCGUGAUAGACGGCCAAAGAACCCAGAUGGGAAUUCCUGCAUAUAAAGCUUUUCUUGUGUAGUUCUGCAUCUACAAUAUGUACAUAUUAUAUAUAAAACUAUAUGAGUGAGUGUGUGUGUCUAAAUUAACAAAGUCCAAGUUCACAGGAAAAAGAAAU